UAGUGACAGGGUUUGAGACCCACUACCCCAGAAUAUGGCACCUCAGCAUGCUGAAUAUUUUAAGACAAAGGGACUUGAGAAAUGGCUGGUGCUGGAAUGACUCUGGGGCCUCCCCUGAAGCAGGUCACAAGGCUCUCUUGAGAGAGGUGCUCUCCCCUUACCAGGAAGAAAGUAGCAUCCUUAUCUCCAAAGCCACUAGGACUCAGAGAGGAAUCUAAACAAACAGGCUUUGAGACCCGGCUGAGAACUUAGAAGGGACCAACAGUGGUCUGGAGAAGGUCUCCCAGAGAAGAUGACAUUUGAGCAAAGUCCAGAGGGAGGUGAUGGAAGCACCAUAUAGAAAUCUGGGGAAAGGAAGCUCCAAGCAGAGAGAACAAUAAAGAGAGGCCAUCGAAUGGAUAUGAGGUUACAAGCACGAGAAAAAGAAGACAGUGGAAAGAAGACCUGGGGUAAGAGGCGGAGUCUGACAACAUCACAGCACAGCUGAACUGCUGGCAACCACUAACCGUUAGACCUCUUGAUACAAGAAAAUGACCCAAGCUAUUUGAGCCACCGCCAGGUUUGUUGUUGUUGUUGUUGUUUUGUUUGUUUGUCAUUUGUAGCCAAAACAUCC